CCACAGAGCCUAAAUACCUUCAGAGCACCAGAUCCAGUCUGAUCUUGGAAGCUAAGCAGGGUCACUCUUGAUUAGUACUUGAGUAUGAGAGUGCCAAAGAAUAUCAAAUACUUUCGGAG
rnacentral:rRNA from 1 species